GGUCCAUCCAUGCUGUCCCAAAGGGAAUUUUAUAGUUACAUGCCUUAUAUAUAAGUCUUUUAUCCACAUUGAAUUUAUCCUUGUGUAUGGUGGAAGUUGUUGGUCUACUUUCAUCUUUUUGCAUGGUCUGUACAGUUUUGCCAAAA